AAGAAGGAAUCGAGAAAACUGGAAUCUGGGUGUGCCAAAUUCUAUCAGAAUCCAUGAAUAUUUCUUCUUUGUUUAAAGAUUGGCGGGAGAUUCCCCUGCGGUGCCCUAAUUUCAGCGAUCGCUGUAUUUAAAUGCCGAUGCCAAUGUUCUAGCGGCAUUGUUCGACAUCCGGAGCGGAAGCUCUUAUGCCCAAUAGCAGAAAUAAGCUACGUUGUAUACCUAAAUUUGGUCAGUGAUUUGCUUUGGUGAUGUAUUUUGUAUGCACAGUCGUUAAUCUUUAUAUUCUGCAUGAAGAUUUAGAUUUUCAAGCUUUCUGAUCCGGCCAUUUCCGUUUCCUUUCUUGACUUUCUUGAAGAAGGAGUUUACCAUAUGCAUUUAUUGCAGUUUUUUUUUUUUUUCGUCGGGAAUGUCGAUUUCAGCCUUGAAACCUGCAGGGGUUCAAUCCCUUGAGUCGUGUAGAGCCCCUGUUUCCAUUAUGCUGGAGUUAACAUCUAUGCUUUUUUUUCGCAUUUUCCAUUAUGUGAAUUUGUUAAACGGAGUUCGAAUUUAGAUUGCAUCUUUGUUAGGAAUUUACUCUCCACAAUGGUAGGAUAUUGGAGUCCUUAAACAAAGUUUACCCUUUGUUAAAAGAAAAAUAAGCUCACAACUUUUUGUUCGACAUGGCUAAGUCAAGGGUAUGGUUCUUACACCAUGAUAUCAACUUUCUACAAUGGUAAGCUUUUAUGGUACGAAUUGAGAUGUAUUCUUACUUAUAAAUUCAUGAUCAUUCUCUAAAUUAAUCAAUAUGGAAUUCAUUCCUAACAAUCCUCAAACAUUAGCAUGGACCGUGACAUAUUAUUUGUUGCCAUUAAACUUCAUAGCACUGGUACUGAGGCUCCUUGAUGAUAACUGUAAUUAUGGUGCCUAUUAUCGAUGUGCUACAAUAAAAGGGAUCCGCUUUGCAGCAUAAGCACUUUUGAAUGUAUGUGCUGCCUGUAAAGCCCUUACACUAACAAAUGGCAUUUAAAUAUAUCUUCCAAUCUUUUACUUCCACCAGUUUGCUGAUUGAGAUUUCUGUAUGAUCUUAUUACAUUUGGUAUCACAGAAGCUUCUAUGAUUUUUUGGGUUUGCAGCUCAAGGGGUCUUAAACCGUUAUUUCUUGCUUUAAUCCUUGGGCUGUUAAGUGUUGCUCAAGAUUGCCGAUGCUUUGUUGUGGGUUAUGGUGUACUUCAGGACAGGAAGAUUCAUCUCAUAAGUUUAUAACUUGAACAUCGCUCGAUCGAUCGUUCUUAUUUUGAAGCGUGUGUUCUUCAAUGAACAUCGCAUCAUAUUGGAUUUAGGGGAUGAAUGUAGUUAAAUAAAUGAGGCUUCUUAAACAGCAGAAAUCAAUGAGAUUUGUAUAUUUAGCUCCACACAGUAACGUGUUUGUAUUUGUUGAAUUUAAUAUGUGCAGAGGAGGAGCCAUGUGAGGUCUUAUUAUAAGGUGAAAUAAAUGUGGUACCUUUUAAUUAUUAUUAUUAU